GAUCAUGGCUCAGAACGAACGCUGGUGGCGUGUCUAUACAUGCAAGUCGAGCGAGGCAGCAAUGCCUAGCGGCGAACGGGUGAGUAACGCGUAAGCAAUCUGCCCCAUAUCAGGAAAUACCCGUGCCAACGCGCGGUUAAUGUCCAGGAGCGUGGCCUUCCGCAUGGGAGGUUGACAAGAGAUUUAUCGGUAUGGGAUGAGCUUGCGUCCGAUUAGCUAGUUGGCGGGCAACGGCCCACCAAGGCGACGAUCGGUAGCCGGCCUGAGAGGGUGAUCGGCCACAUUGGGACUGAGAUACGGCCCAGACUCCUACGGGAGGCAGCAGUAGGGAAUAUUGCACAAUGGGGGAAACCCUGAUGCAGCAACGCCAACCGUGUGGGAAGAAGCAUUUCGGUGUGUAAGCCACUGUCGUGAGGGAAUAAGGCGUCUUCUCGGAGACGUUGAAUGUACCUCGAAAGGAAGCACCGGCAAACUUCGUGCCAGCCGCCGC
rnacentral:rRNA from 1 species